UACGGGGGGAGCAAGCGUUGUUCGGAUUUACUGGGCGUAAAGGGCGCGUAGGCGGUCAGCACAAGUCAGUUGUGAAAUCUCCGGGCUUAACCCGGAAAGGUCAACUGAUACUGUGCGACUAGAGUGCGGAAGGGGCAACUGGAAUUCUCGGUGUAGCGGUGAAGUGCGUAGAUAUCGAGAGGAACACCUGCGGCGAAGGCGGGUUGCUGGGCCGACACUGACGCUGAUGCGCGACAGCGUGGGGAGCAAACAGG
rnacentral:rRNA from 1 species